rnacentral:rRNA from 1 species
GAUGAGCGCUAGCGGCAGGCUUAAUACAUGCAAGUCGAGGGGCAGCAUGAUUGUAGCAAUACAAUUGAUGGCGACCGGCAAACGGGUGCGGAACACGUACACAACCUUCCAACAAGUGGGGGAUAGCCCAGAGAAAUUUGGAUUAAUACCCCGUAACAUAGCGAUGUGGCAUCACAUUGCUAUUAUAGAUUUUUCGCUUGUUGAUGGGUGUGCGGCUGAUUAGAUAGUUGGCGGGGUAACGGCCCACCAAGUCUACGAUCAGUAGCUGAUGUGAGAGCAUGAUCAGCCACACGGGAACUGAGACACGGGCCCGACUCCUACGGGAGGCAGCAGUAAGGAAUAUUGGACAAUGGACGCAAGUCUGAUCCAGCCAUGCCGCGUGAAGGAUUAAGGUCCUCUGGAUUGUAAACUUCUUUUAUAAGGGACGAAAAAAGGCUUUUCUAAGUCGUCUGACGGUACCUUAUGAAUAAGCACCGGCUAACUCCGUGCCAGCAGCCGCAGUAACAC